rnacentral:rRNA from 1 species
UACGAAGGGGGCUAGCGUUGUUCGGAAUUACUGGGCGUAAAGCGCACGUAGGCGGACUAUUAAGUCAGGGGUGAAAUCCCGGGGCUCGAACCCCGGAACUGCCUUUGAUACUGGUAGUCUCGAGUCCGGAAGAGGUGAGUGGAAUUCCGAGUGUAGAGGUGAAAUUCGUAGAUAUUCGGAGGAACACCAGUGGCGAAGGCGGCUCACUGGUCCGGUACUGACGCUGAGGUGCGAAAGCGUGGGGAGCAAACAGG